CGGGGUGCAGCAGGCGCGUAAACUUUACAAUGCCGGCAACGGCGAUAAGGGAACCUCGAGUGCCAGGUUACAAAUCUGGCUGUCGUGAUGCCUAAAAAGCAUUGCAUAACAAGGGCCGGGCAAGACCGGUGCCAGCCGCCGCGGUAACACCGGCGGCUCGAGUGGUAACCGUUAUUAUUGGGUCUAAAGGGUCUGUAGCCGGCCGGGUAAGUCUCUUGGGAAAUCUGGCAGCUUAACUGUCAGGCUUUCAGGAGAUACUGCCUGGCUCGAGGCCGGGAGAGGUGAGAGGUACUUCAGGGGUAGGGGUGAAAUCUUGUAAUCCUUGAAGGACCACCAGUGGCGAAGGCGUCUCACCAGAACGGACCUGACGGCAAGGGACGAAAGCUAGGGGCACGAACCGGAUUAGAUACCCGGGUAGUCCUAGCCGUAAACGAUACUCGCUAGGUGUCGGCCACGGUGCGACCGUGGUCGGUGCCGUAGGGAAGCCGUGAAGCGAGCCACCUGGGAAGUACGGCCGCAAGGCUGAAACUUAAAGGAAUUGGCGGGGGAGCACAAGGGCGAAUGCG
rnacentral:rRNA from 1 species